GCAAACUGAGUUGUGAUAUGGAAAAAAGUUAUGAAGGUAGACUCUGAGACUAUGUUAUGAUUAAUAAAAUUAAGUUAUUUUACUUAACUCGAGUCUAUGUGAUUUAAAGUUGUAUACUUCGGUCAUUACCUUCUAAGAUGAGGUAUGAUCUAUGACAAGUGGUAUUAGAGCACGAUUUUAGGAUGUCCCUUAAAUAUGUGGUUUAGGGUUACAUGAGACCUAGAUAGAGUUGUGAAACAUAGUGAAAUGCCUCUAAGUUCGAAUUUCAUGAAUGUAGAAAAUGGCAAGGAUACCGAGAGAGCAGGCACAUCGGGUUCCAAAAGACCAGAUCGAACAAAGUCUAGAUAGAGUCAUGCGUAUAGUCGAAGGCUUAGUUUGGGUGGUAGGUCAACAUGUAUCCCAUAGCCAAAGUGUUACUAACACCAGUAAUGAUGGUACCGGUAACACCUAACCGAUGGAGGAAAAUGAUGGAAAACUCAUCAAAAGAUUCAAGAGGAUGAACCCACCACCAUUUGCUGGUGGAACUGACCUGAUAUUAGCCAAGCAGUGGAUCAUAGAGUUGGAGAAGAUGUUUGAAGUUCUAACCCCCACUUCAGAGCAAAAAGUAUAAUUAGCUACAUUCAUGUUC
rnacentral:lncRNA from 1 species